GACGAACCGUGCGAACGUUGUUCGGAUUCACUGGGCUUAAAGGGCGCGUAGGCGGCUUGUCACGUCGGGUGUGAAAGCCCGGGGCUUAACCCCGGGUCUGCAUUCGAUACGGGCUGGCUAGAGUGUGGUAGGGGAGAUCGGAAUUCCUGGUGUAGCGGUGAAAUGCGCAGAUAUCGGGAGGAACACCGGUGGCGAAGGCGGUUCUCUGGGCCUUACCUGACGCUGAGGAGCGAAAGCGUGGGGAGCGAACAGG
rnacentral:rRNA from 1 species